CCCGAGCCUAUCGCUGUCCCGACCAACAGGUGGCUCCUGACGGUGUGCGGGAAGGACUUGAUGAGCCGUAUGGGUCACAUCAAGGCCAGCAUCACCUCCACCUUUGGCUCCAUUUUAAAAAUGGAUUCUACAAAGAAGAUGACCAAAAAGCUGGCUGGAGCCGCCAAGGGGACGGCGCUCUGGGUGUCCUCCGUCAGCAACGAGAAGGGGCAGGCCCUGCUGCAGGAGCUGAUGGGGGACAAAGGCAGGGACCUGCUGGGUGUUCCCCUCCUGGACCGGGUGAGGAUGGAGCACAUCUGGCGGGUUCAGAAGAGGCACGUCAAGUGCAUCCAGGACCUGCCAGGUGUGCCUCUGUACACAAAGACCGGCACCACCACCACCAAGGACGGCGUCGUCCUCACCAAAUACAGGUGUGCGCGAGGUUCAACGUCACUGGAGUCCUUCCACUGCCACCUGAACCGCUUUAUUCCAGGGACCCAGGCCAAUGACCUGAACUUCCAGCUCUACUUGCUGGACGGGCUGAACCGGUGGAACCAGGACCGGGCUGCUGCUGCUGUGGCUGAGAAGAUGUCCGCUCUCCUCAGCUACUCAGGGGAUCUGGUACACUGUGUGAACACAUUUGGCACCAAUGUGUUUGGACAGAUGUUUGUCCCCUCUUUCCGCCUCCCCAGCAAGUACACUGGAGAGUUGAUAGGCAUUGACUACCUCUACAUGCAGACGGGGAAGUGCAUGCAGGACAUGGAUCCUGAGGGGGAGGAGACGGAGCAGCUGCUGGAGGACCUGGGCGACGAGGCAGAGGAUGAGGGCUUCACAGACGACACCGAGGCUAGUCUGGAGCUCUUCUCUGCCCUCAUUUCACUACCACCUGCUCAGCCCUCCACCAGUGGUUCCUGGUCCGCUGCUCCACCUCCUCCUUCUCCACCACCGGCUCAGCCCUCCACCAGUGGUUCCUGGUCCGCUGCUCCACC
ensembl:lncRNA